rnacentral:rRNA from 1 species
CGCAGCCGCGGUAAUUCCAGCUCCAAUAGCGUAUAUUAAAGUUGUUGCAGUUAAAAGCUCGUAGUUGAAUUUCGGGGUUAGUAGGUUGGUCAUGCCUCUGGUAUGUACUGGUCUCACUGAUUCCUCCUUCCUGAUGAACCUUAAUGCCAUUAAUUUGGUGUUUUGGGGAAUUUGGACUGUUACUUUGAAAAAUUAGAGUGUUUAAAGCAAGCUAACGCUUGAAUACAUUAGCAUGGAAUAAUGAAAUAGGACGUUCGAUCCUAUUUUGUUGGUUUCUAGGAUUGACGUAAUGAUUAAUAGGGAUAGUUGGGGGCAUUAGUAUUCAAUUGUCAGAGGUGAAAUUCUUGGAUUUAUUGAAGACUAACUACUGCGAAAGCAUUUUGCCAAGGAUGUUUUCAUUAAUCAAGAACGAAAGUUAGGGAUCGAAGACGAUCAGAUACCGUCGUAGUC